CCGUGCUAGAUGGGGAAUUAGCGGUGCCCUGUAACUUGCAACCCGCUAUAGCAAGAUCGAUGCCGACGCGAGGCAAUUACUGCUCUAUUUGGAAGAAAUUAAACGAUAUUGAUAUUUCGAACUGUUGCAAUGGAUAGCGACUGAAUCCCGUCAGGCCCGGAAGGGAGCAGCGGUAAGUUUGAUAUCCAUGUGCCGACAGAAUCCCGAAAUGGAGUUGGUUGAUUUUGACUUGAUGGAAAACAGAAUCGUCAAACGCCGGUGCACGG
rnacentral:SRP_RNA from 1 species